rnacentral:rRNA from 1 species
GACGAACGCUGGCGGCAGGCCUAACACAUGCAAAUCGAGCGGACCUUUCGGGGUCAGCGGCGGACGGGGGAGUAACGCGUGGUAAUAUGCCCUUCUCUACGGUAUAGUUCUGGGAAAGUGGGGGUAAUACCGUAUACGCCCUUUGCGGGAAAGAUUUAUCGGGGAAGGAUUAGCGCGCGUUGGAUUAGGUGGUUGGUGGGGUAAUGGCCUACCAAGCCGAGGAUCCAUAGCUGGUUGGAGAGGAUGAUCAGCCACACUGGGACUGAGACACGGCCCAGACUCCUACGGGAGGGAGCAGUGGGGAAUCUUAGACAAUGGGGGCAACCCUGAUAUAGCCAUGCCGCGUGAGAGAGGAAGGCCGUAGGGUUGUAAAGCUGUUUCAGCUGGGAAGAUAAUGACGGUACCAGCAGAAGAAGCCCCGGCUAACUCCGUG